AUGUGAAAACGUUGAACACGGCGUCGCUUCGAAGACACGUGGUUCAUAGUUCACAGCUUCGCGCUCGAUGUGCGUGUUCACCACGUGAAAUGGCUGCAGGAUUUUUGUCAGGCAUUGCCUUGGUCCUAUCGACCUGUGGAAGAAAGGAUAUUCAGCCAUUAGCUGCGAAAGUGUGCUUCAAGAGAAGCUCGGGAGUCAUAUGGUUUUAUGCACCUUUGGGAAUUUGCGAGUCGCUGAGCGUUGUGCGCAGAGCCUCUUCAUAACGUGCCCUCUUCUUGACUUCACCUUCCAGUUGGUCCUGGACCUGUCUUCUGCAACGCUUUUCCCGGCGUAGCCGCUUCUGGUAGAACACUGCAAAUGAAUAAACAAUUUUCACGACUGUUUCA